CAGGUGGAGCCUGCGGUUUAAUCGGACUCAACGCCGGGAAACUCACCAGAUAAGACAGCUGAAUGAUAGUCGGGCUGAAGACUCUACUUGACUAGCUGAGAGGAGGUGCAUGGCCGUCGUCAGUUCGUACUGUGAAGCAUCCUGUUAAGUCAGGCAACGAGCGAGACCCACGCCAACAGUUGCCAGCUCGUCCUCCGGGAUGGUGGGGACACUGUUGGGACCGCCUCUGCUAAAGAGGAGAAGGAAUGGGCAACGGUAGGUCAGCAUGCCCCGAAUUAUCUGGGCUACACGCGGGCUACAAUGGGUGGGACAAUGGGUAUCGACACCGAAAGGUGAAGGCAAUCUCCUAAACCCAUCCGUAGUUCGGAUUGUGGGCUGCAACUCGCCCACAUGAAGCUGGAAUCUGUAGUAAUCGUGUCUCAAAAUGGCACGGUGAAUAUGUCCCUGCUCCUU
rnacentral:rRNA from 1 species